AGUGAACGCUGGCGGUAGGCCUAACACAUGCAAGUCGAACGGCAGCACAGUAAGAGCUUGCUCUUACGGGUGGCGAGUGGCGGACGGGUGAGGAAUACAUCGGAAUCUACUUUUUCGUGGGGGAUAACGUAGGGAAAUUUACGCUAAUACCGCAUACGACCUACGGGUGAAAGCAGGGGAUCUUCGGACCUUGCGCGAUUGAAUGAGCCGAUGUCGGAUUAGCUAGUUGGCGGGGUAAAGGCCCACCAAGGCGACGAUCCGUAGCUGGUCUGAGAGGAUGAUCAGCCACACUGGAACUGAGACACGGUCCAGACUCCUACGGGAGGCAGCAGUGGGGAAUAUUGGACAAUGGGCGCAAGCCUGAUCCAGCCAUACCGCGUGGGUGAAGAAGGCCUUCGGGUUGUAAAGCCCUUUUGUUGGGAAAGAAAAGCAGCAGGUUAAUACCCCGCUGUUCUGGCGGUACCCAAAGAAUAAGCACCGGCUAACUUCGUG
rnacentral:rRNA from 1 species